GAGGCUCGGGCAGUUUAUGUGCCUAUGUCGUAGGUCUUCGUCCGCCCGAGGGCCUAUCUGUCCGUCUCCUGGGCCCUGCGUCCGUCAGUGCUUGUGGCCAAGGGCGAGGCAACAAGAGAGACCAAGGAGCCAUAGAUUGUUCUUCUGUUGCCUACUCAGACAAAGGAAGGAAGGAAACUGGUUGGGAGGAAAGAUGACAUCUUCCAUUCUCCUGAAAAGAGAUGAGAACAAGAAUUUGGAGAAUUGCUAAUGGGCAAAGCCUGGAGAGAAGCAAUCUCAGUUCUCAGUACCGGCUUACAAACAAUCACAGACAGACACCUUCCUACUAAUAAAGCAGAAGUCCUUUUCUGCCCUCCAAA